rnacentral:lncRNA from 1 species
GCCCGGGCCCGCCCCCUGCCGGGACUCCGCGCGGCCCUAGCGCCCCCGGCCGGACCCUGGCUCGGGCGUCCCUCUCCUGGCUGUCCUGGGUCCUAGCGCUCGUUGGCCCAAUGUGACUCGAUUUCCCUGGCUAAGCUGGCAGUUUCGGGACUUGUAGGAGCUCCCGCUCUCCUGUCCCCAAUCCCCUCUGGGCUCCUCUCUGGUAAAACUUCGGCCAUCGACGUCUGGGUCUGUGGAAUCAAGAGCAAACGUGUGCCCCUCCGCGCGCCAGCCCGGGCCGCUCCAGCCCGCCCGCGCGGCGCUAGGCAAGGAGGGAAGAAGAGGGGACUCAGGGAAGGGGGCGUGGGGGGUUCCGAAUUCGAGUCUCGCACACGGAAGGCCCCUCGAAGGCUGCCGGGCGCGGCCCCGCGGAGAGCGCAGUUCCUUCAGGGUCUUCAUCGGGUCCCUCCCGAGGGCCGCGGGGGCCCGAGUUUCGAGGGCCGGGGGUGGGAGACGCUGUCCCGCCCCCGAGGUGCUGAAGCACCACCGCGGCCCUCCAACGGCACCUCCUCGAGACGGGGUCCCCGCAGCCGCCACCGCGGGCCGCUCACACCGGCCGCUAGGUGGCGCCAUUGCCCCGGCCAGCGCCUGGGGCCUCGCGGCUCGGGACGCCGACGGAGGUCGCGGCGGGGGACCCGGGAAGGGCGAGGGCGAAAGAGGAAGGCGGCCCUCCCAANNNNNNNNNNNNNNNNNNNNNNNNNNNNNNNNNNNNNNNNNNNNNNNNNNNNGUUGACUGACAGCCCGACUGCGCGGCCCGGACGGUCCCUCCGCUCCGGAUCCGGCGGGAGGGGGGAGGGGCGGGAUUUCCUGCGGGAGGCGCCGGGCCGGCCUUGGGAAAGGAGGAGAAGGCGGAGGAAGGGGCCCGGGGGGCCGGGGGAGCUGUGGUCCCGAGUGCCAGGGGCCGAGCGGGGCCGGCCGGACCGGGCAGGGCGGCCGGGAGAGGCUGUGGCCCAGCCUUCGGUGGAGACCCCCCGAGACCUGUCCACGGCUGCUGCCCGAGGCCAGAGGGAAUGCUGGGUGCUCUCCGGGUGGGCACUGGUGCUCCCGAGCCAAGUGGCGAAGAUUGGCGCACCCAGUCCCGGCCCAUCCCGGGGCCGUCGGAAGCUGCAAGCUGAUAUCCGUCCAGAUUUCCACGCAGCCUCCACCCCCUCAGAGCUCAGCUUUCCGGCCUGUGGUGGCAGCUCACGGAGCACCAGCGGGCACCUGACAAGGAGCUCACUGCCUGUGCGCGGACGGACGUGCUCCCCCAGGAUCCCGGGCCUCCGGGCGGCUGAGGCAUGA